UGGGAAACAGGUUAAUAUUCCUGUACUUGGUGUUACUGCGAAGGGGGGACGGAGAAGGCUAUGUUGGCCGGGCGACGGUUGUCCCGGUUUAAGCGUGUAGGCUGGUUUUCCAGGCAAAUCCGGAAAAUCAAGGCUGAGACGUGAUGACGAGGCACUACGGUGCUGAAGCAACAAAUGCCCUGCUUCCAGGAAAAGCCUCUAAGCAUCAGGUAACAUCAAAUCGUACCCCAAACCGACACAGGUGGUCAGGUAGAGAAUACCAAGGCGCUUGAGAGAA
rnacentral:rRNA from 1 species